rnacentral:rRNA from 1 species
GUCACUGACGAGUUUGAUCCUGGCUCAGAACGAACGCUGGCGGCAGGCCUAACACAUGCAAGUCGAGCGAUCCCUUCGGGGAUAGCGGCGGACGGGUGAGUAACGCGUGGGAACGUACCCUUUGCUACGGAAUAGCCUCGGGAAACUGGGAGUAAUACCGUAUGUGCCCUUCGGGGGAAAGAUUUAUCAGCAAAGGAUCGGCCCGCGUUGGAUUAGGUAGUUGGUGGGGUAAUGGCCUACCAAGCCUACGAUCCAUAGCUGGUUUGAGAGGAUGAUCAGCCACACUGGGACUGAGACACGGCCCAGACUCCUACGGGAGGCAGCAGUGGGGAAUCUUAGACAAUGGGGGCAACCCUGAUCUAGCCAUGCCGCGUGAGUGAUGAAGGCCUUAGGGUUGUAAAGCUCUUUCAGCUGGGAAGAUAAUGACGGUACCAGCAGAAGAAGCCCCGGCUAACUCCGUG